CGGCCAUGGCGACCGCGGAGCCCAGCGGGCGCGCGUUGCGGUUGUCUACCCCGGGACCCCGGCCCAGCGGGGCUCGGGACCGCGCGCCGGGAGCUGCGGGGCCACCCUCCGGGCAGAUCGGUAAUAGAGCCCUCCGUCUGGGGGAGCGCACCCCCGCGGCCGUGGAAAAGCGGGGGCCAUACAUGGUGACGCGCGCACCCUCCAUUCAAGCCAAGCUGCGUCAGUGAAGUUUAACAAGGGCUAUACUGCUCUUAGCCAGAGUCCAGAUGAAAACCUGGUGUCCCUCGACUCUGACAGUGAUGGGGAGCUGGGAUCCAGAUACUCCUCCGGGUAUUCAUCUGCAGAGCAGGUGAACCAGGAUGUGAGCCGGCAGCUGCUUCAGGAUGGGUAUCACCUGGAUGAGAUUCCAGAUGACGAGGACUUGGACCUCAUCCCCCCUAAGCCCAUGGCCUCUUCAACAUGCUCCUGCUGCUGGUGCUGUCUUGGGGACUCUUCUUCCUGUACCCUCCAGUAGACAUUACCCUCCAAGGUUGCACCUGUCUAACUAUGACAGGGAUCAUAGCAGGUUGCUUAAUGAUACAGCAGGAUCCUGGCUUCCAGAAUCCCUGGACCUGGGGCAUCCCCAACUGGUCCAACCGUCCGGGUGAGUUUAGUGAUUCUGGUUUGCCCUUCC
rnacentral:lncRNA from 1 species